GGGAAUGUGGCUUAGUGGUAGAGUGCUUACCUAGCAUGCAUGAAACCAUGGGUUCAAUUCCUUAGUAUUCACA
rfam:Dipodomys ordii contig_97149, whole genome shotgun sequence.